UACGAAGGGGGCUAGCGUUGCUCGGAAUUACUGGGCGUAAAGCGCACGUAGGCGGAUUGUUAAGUCGGGGGUGAAAUCCUGGAGCUCAACUCCAGAACUGCCUUCGAUACUGGCGAUCUCGAGUUCGGGAGAGGUGGAGUGGGAACUGCGAGUGUAGAGGUGAAAUUCGGUAGAUAUUCGCAAGAACACCAGUGGCGAAGGGCGGCUCACUGGCCCGAUACUGACGCUGAGGUGCGGAAAGCGAG
rnacentral:rRNA from 1 species